rnacentral:rRNA from 1 species
AUUGAACGCUGGCGGCAUGCCUUACACAUGCAAGUCGAACGGCAGCAUGGAGAGCUUGCUCUCUGAUGGCGAGCGGCGAACGGGUGAGUAAUGCAUCGGAACGUACCGUGUAAUGGGGGAUAACGUAGCGAAAGUUACGCUAAUACCGCAUACGACCUGAGGGUGAAAGCAGGGGAUCGCAAGACCUUGCGUUAUACGAGCGGCCGAUGUCAGAUUAGCUAGUUGGUGAGGUAAAGGCUCACCAAGGCGACGAUCUGUAGCGGGUCUGAGAGGAUGAUCCGCCACACUGGGACUGAGACACGGCCCAGACUCCUACGGGAGGCAGCAGUGGGGAAUUUUGGAGAAUGGGGGCAACCCUGAUCCAGCCAUGCCGCGUGAGUGAAGAAGGCCUUCGGGUUGUAAAGCUCUUUCGGCCGGGAAGAAAUCGCACAGGCUAAUACUCUGUGUGGAUGACGGUACCGGCAUAAGAAGCACCGGCUAACUACGUGCCAGCAGCCGCCGUAA